UCUGCGGGCACACAGACAGGUGGAGAUGGCAGGCAGGGGAGUAUGCAGAGUGACAAGGUUUGGGCCCAGUUGGACAGGGCACUGCUGAGAGCCCUGGAGCUCAGGAUCCCUGGAGAGCUCUUUCUCUUGGGCCUUGGACUUUUUCCACACUUCCCAGGAGCCUGCUCCUAAGGCUCUCAGACCUCAAACUGGGAAUGCUGACCCCUUGGGCCUCAAAAAGCAGAGAAAAGAAUGACAUGUUCCUCAACCAACUCCCGAGCCAGAUCUGGGCACUGGAUGCUACCGCACUACACAUCCUCCAUGCCCUUUCUUAUUACCAGCUGCCCCCAAACUUCACCUGUUGCCAAAGCCACCACACAUUUGCCACUCAAUUCUGUGGUUUCCGCAGAUGAGAAGGCUGAUUUGAACUGAAACACAGGGGCAGAGAAGUGAAGGGUUAAUUUCCAAGAGCACUGCCCAGGUCUCCUCCCCAUUUCAACUUCUGUUCCAGGAGAAAAAGACCAAAGACCAAAGAGGCCAAAGACCUCAAGCAGGGCCUGUAGGACCCAAAGUAUUGGCAGGUGCCAGAGCCACUCCUCCCCACAUCCAGGAUCCUGCAGGACCUCCUCCUUUGCCAUAUGCUCCUUCAGCAGUUCUGUCUGCACAAUCCCCGGCCACAGAGACACACAGCUGACCCCAUGGCGCCGCAGCUCGUGGGCACAGUCAGCAGCCAGCUUGUCACACUGUGGAGAGGCGGAAGGCAGGGUAAGAGCCACCUAGCCAUGUCACUUUCCUGCCCUGCCCUCUCUGCUUCUACUGUGAAUGCUCCACCCACCCUGUCCUUCCCAGGAGCCCCAAGGUCUCAGCUGCCCACGCUCCCCAGUGUGAUGCCUACUCUAGCCAACCAAGAGGAGCACAAGCAAAGGAACUGUCCAUGGAUGAGGCAGAGGAGGAGCUGAGAGGAGCCAGCCUUACCAUUCUGACCACUGGGGAUUGUACCUCCUGAGCUAUAGUGUCUCGCUGUGUCGUCUAGACUGGAGUGCAGUGGUGUGAUCAUGGCUCAACUCCUAGGCUCAAGCGAUCCUCCUGCCUCAGCCUCCGGAGUAGCUGCUGGGACUGCAGGAACGUGCCACCAUGCCUGGCUCAAACACAAAGUUUUUUCAUAAAACUCACUUGGCGGCAAAAUUCUACCUUACCUGAAGUUAUUUACGGGGUUUUUAAUUUCCACUUUGAAUAAAUAUUCACAUCUUGUUG
rnacentral:lncRNA from 1 species